AAAUAACAAACAAGUAGUCUGUCUGUAUUUCAGGACAGAUGAUUUCUAUAAUAUCUUAACGCUUAUGCAGCUGCAAAUAUAUUGCAUAUUAAUUUAUAGACAUCUGGUAUUCUAUCCUGUGUUCAUAACGUGCGUGUGCAGUUAGUAUAGUACUGUUAAAUCGUAAAUAUAUCACAUGUUUUAACAAUUUGAAACAAGCAAAUUGCUCUAUCACGGAUUAUGUAAAACAUACAGUAUUAAUACCAGCCCGAGUGUGACACUGCGUAGUGUAAACUAAGGAUGCUCAAUGCAAAGAUGGAUAAAAAUAAUACUGAAUACGAUUUUAAGUGGGAAGGCAACCUCACUGACGAGAUGAAGAACAGUUUUACAGAAAAUGGAUUUUUUAUUGCAAGACAAUUCUUAGACUCAGAAGAAGUAGCAAACAUAUGGAAAGUUGUCGAGGAUCCAGACGGAAUUCUGAAUCAUGGAUACAUGACUUACGAAGAAAAUGGCAGACAGAUACAAAGAACAUUGUGUUCCUAUCCUGGCCAUGAUGUUACUGGAAUGGUUGCACGAUGUGAAAAGGUGGAUGGUUCAUGUGAACAAUUACUAGGAUGUGAAGUGUAUCACUGGUGUUCUAUGUUUGUGAAUAAAGAAGCAUGCGUCGGCGGAGAGAUUGUCUGGCACCAGGACUACGGGUACUGGUACAAUGAUGGAGUCUUAUAUCCAGAUAUGAUAACAGUAUGGAUGCCUCUCGAUAAGUGCAGGAAAGAUAACAGUUGUAUACAGGUCUUAAGAUCGUCCAAUAAGAUGGGUCGAGUAAACCACAGUAAAGUACCUAGUGGUCAAAUGAGUGCAGACCCUGAACGGGUAAACGACAUUAUGAAGAAAUGUGAACAUCUUUACCUUGAAAUGGAUCCAGGUGACGCCUUGUUUCACCACGGAAACACAUUACAUCGGAGCGAUGAGAACAAAAGCAAAAAUGGGCGUUUGGGAUUCCUGUCGUGCUUUAAUGGGGCACACAAUUCACCUGUGUUUAAAACAGGAUACCCUUCAUACAACAAACUAGAAAAGGUAUCAAAUGAAGCCAUAAAGCAGUGUACCAACUAUACAGAUUUCAGUGGGAAGGGAUUUAGAGAUGAAGUGUGAACAGUAUGAAGAGAAAGCCGGAUAAACAUGUUUCGUCAGCAGAAAAUGGAAAAAAAGGCACUCAAAUCACAGAAAAAAUAUGACAAUUUUGAGUGGGAAGGCAAACUCACUGACGAGAUGAAGAACAGUUUUACAGAAAAUGGAUUUUUCAUUGUAAGAAAAUUCUUAGACUCAGAAGAAGUAGCAAACAUAUGGAAAGUUGUCGAGGAUCCAGACGGAAUUCUGAAUCAUGGAUACAUGACUUACGAAGAAAAUGGUAGAAAGAUACAAAGAACAUUGUGUUCCUAUCCUGGUCAUGACAUUACUGGGAUUGUUGCACGGUCUGAAAAGGUGGCUGGUUCAUGUGAACAAUUACUAGGAUGUGAAGUGUAUCACUGGUGUUCUAUGUUUGUGAAUAAAGAAGCACACGUCGGCGGGGAGCAUGUCUGGCACCAGGACUAUGGAUACUGGUACAAUGAUGGAGUCUUAUAUCCAGACAUGAUAACAGUUUGGAUGUCUCUCGACAAGUGCAGGAAAGAUAACAGUUGUAAACAGGCAAGUACGAUGUUUAUUAAUGUAUAGUUAUUCCAUAAGUGUAGGAGAGACAACAGUUGUAAACAAGCAAGUACGAUGUUUAUUAAUCUAGAGCUCUUUCCAUAAGUACAGGAACGGUUAUAGUUGUAAGUACGCUAUUCAAUCUAGAGAUAUUUCGAUAAGAGUAGGAAAGACAACAGUUGUAAACCAUUGACAUUCGGCACAUUUGUUUGGCCAAUAAUGAUGCUUUAUAUGAUAUAAAACACCAGUAGACACUCUGGGGCCCAAACAUAAAUCCUGCAUCAUUUACUACACUACGGUAUAAUAAUUGAAUCAAGGUAUUUAAGUCAGCAGUGCUACAUUUCACGGCGACCUUCGUUUCACGCUGUCUAAUGAUGCAACCAAAAAGAUAUGGCCAAAUAUUCGCAUGCCUACAACACCCAUCGCAAUUAUCGUUCAGUUCCGGGGUAGAUCAUUUACAUAUCGUCGUUCAUCUCUGAGAAAUAAGUUUUUAAACAUUGACAAAAUUAUACAAUUGCGUCAGUAAGAAACGAUCGUGGCGAUGCGAAUAUCGCGACUAAACAGCCAUUCAAAAGCUUUUACACAUAAAAUACACCCACGUGUAUGUAAGUUACAACAAGUUCUUAUAAUAUAUUAAGCCUAUGCUAACUUUGCACAUCUUUAACGAAUGCAAUUUAAUUUGGUUCAAAUGUUGUUCACUUUCUUUUUGCCGGUCGCAGUAACAUUGCUGUAAACAAGAAUGAUGUUUAAUCUAGUGAUACCUCGAUUUUUGCACGAAAAAUAACAGUUAUAAACAAGCAAAAACGAUAUUGGAAAUAGCGAUCUCUCGAUAAGUGAAUGCAGAAUAACAAUUCUAAAC